rnacentral:rRNA from 1 species
GCACAACGCGAAGAACCUUACCAAGGCUUGACAUACACGAGAACGGGCCAGAAAUGGUCAACUCUUUGGACACUCGUGAACAGGUGGUGCAUGGUUGUCGUCAGCUCGUGUCGUGAGAUGUUGGGUUAAGUCCCGCAACGAGCGCAACCCUCGUUCUAUGUUGCCAGCACGUAAUGGUGGGAACUCAUGGGAUACUGCCGGGGUCAACUCGGAGGAAGGUGGGGAUGACGUCAAAUCAUCAUGCCCCUUAUGUCUUGGGCUUCACGCAUGCUACAAUGGCCGGUACAAUGGGCUGCGAUACCGUAAGGUGGAGCGAAUCCCAAAAAGCCGGUCCCAGUUCGGAUUGAGGUCUGCAACUCGACCUCAUGAAGUCGGAGUCGCUAGUAAUCGCAGAUCAGCAACGCUGCAGUGAAUACGUUCCCGGGUCUUGUACACACCG